rnacentral:rRNA from 1 species
UGGGGAAUAUUGGACAAUGGGGGCAACCCUGAUCCAGCCAUGCCGCGUGUGUGAAGAAGGCCUUUUGGUUGUAAAGCACUUUAAGCAGUGAAGAAGACUCCAUGGUUAAUACCCAUGGACGAUGACAUUAGCUGCAGAAUAAGCACCGGCUAACUCUGUGCCAGCAGCCGCGGUAAUACAGAGGGUGCAAGCGUUAAUCGGAAUUACUGGGCGUAAAGCGAGCGUAGGUGGCUUGAUAAGUCAGAUGUGAAAGCCCCGGGCUUAACCUGGGAACGGCAUCUGAUACUGUUAGGCUAGAGUAGGUGAGAGGAAGGUAGAAUUCCAGGUGUAGCGGUGAAAUGCGUAGAGAUCUGAAGGAAUACCGAUGGCGAAGGCAGCCUUCUGGCAUCAUACUGACACUGAGGUUCGAAAGCGUGGGUAGCAAACA